rnacentral:rRNA from 1 species
GAUGAACGCUGACAGAAUGCUUAACACAUGCAAGUCUACUUGAAUUUGGGUUUUUUAACUUCGAUUUGGGUGGCGGACGGGUGAGUAACGCGUAAAGAACUUGCCUCACAGCUAGGGACAACAUUUGGAAACGAAUGCUAAUACCUGAUAUUAUGAUUAUAGGGCAUCCUAGAAUUAUGAAAGCUAUAUGCGCUGUGAGAGAGCUUUGCGUCCCAUUAGCUAGUUGGAGAGGUAACGGCUCACCAAGGCGAUGAUGGGUAGCCGGCCUGAGAGGGUGAACGGCCACAAGGGGACUGAGACACGGCCCUUACUCCUACGGGAGGCAGCAGUGGGGAAUAUUGGACAAUGGACCGAGAGUCUGAUCCAGCAAUUCUGUGUGCACGAUGACGUUUUUCGGAAUGUAAAGUGCUUUCAGUUGGGGAAGAAAAAAAUGACGGUACCAACAGAAGAAGUGACGGCUAAAUACGUGCCAGCAGCCGCGGUAAUACGUAUGUCACGAGCGUUAUCCGGAUUUAUUGGGCGUAAAGCGCGUCUAGGUGGUUAUGUAAGUCUGAUGUGAAAAUGCAGGGCUCAACUCUGUAUUGCGUUGGAAACUGUGUAACUAGAGUACUGGAGAGGUAAGCGGAACUACAAGUGUAGAGGUGAAAUUCGUAGAUAUUUGUAGGAAUGCCGAUGGGGAAGCCAGCUUACUGGACAGAUACUGACGCUGAAGCGCGAAAGCGUGGGUAGCAAACAGG